GAUGAAGAACGAAGCGAAAUGCGAUAAGUAAUGUGAAUUGCAGAAUUCAGUGAAUCAUCGAAUCUUUGAACGCACAUUGCGCCCGCCAGUAUUCUGGCGGGCAUGCCUGUUCGAGCGUCAUUACAACCCUCAGGCCCCCGGGGCUGGCGUUGGGGAUCGGCGGAAGCCCCCUGCGGGCACAACGCCGUCCCCCAAAUACAGUGGCGGUCCCGCCGCAGCUUCCAUUGCGUAGUAGCUAACACCUCGCAACUGGAGAGCGGCGCGGCCACGCCGUAAAACACCCAACUUCUGAAUGUUGACCUCGAAUCAGGUAGGAAUACCCGCUGAACUUAAGCAUAUCAAUAAGCGGAGGA
rnacentral:misc_RNA from 1 species